AUUGAACGCUGGCGGCCGGUCUAACACAUGCAAGUCGAGCGAGCAUCUUACGGGUGAGUAAUGUAUGGGGACUGCCCGAUAGAGGGGGAUAACUACUGGAAACGGUGGCUAAUACCGCAUACUAUCGGAUAACCCAUAUGGGAUUAGCCAGUAGGUGGGGUAAAGGCUCCCCUAGGCGACGAUCUCUAGCUGGUCUGAGAGGAUGUUCAGCCACACUGGGACUGAGACACGGCCCAGACUCCUACGGAGGCAGCAGUGGGGAAUAUUGCACAAUGGGCGCAAGCCUGAUGAAGCCAUGCCGCGUGUAUGAAGAAGGCCUUAGGGUUGUAAAGUACUUUAAGCGGGGAGGCGUUACCCGCAAAAGAAGCACCGGCUAACUCCGGGCAAGCAGCCACGGUAAUUG
rnacentral:rRNA from 1 species